rnacentral:rRNA from 1 species
GACGAACGCCGGCGGCGUGCUUAACACAUGCAAGUCGAACGGAAAGGCCCUGCUUUUGUGGGGUGCUCGAGUGGCGAACGGGUGAGUAACACGUGAGUAACCUGCCCUUGACUUUGGGAUAACUUCAGGAAACUGGGGCUAAUACCGGAUAGGAGCUCCUGCUGCAUGGUGGGGGUUGGAAAGUUUCGGCGGUUGGGGAUGGACUCGCGGCUUAUCAGCUUGUUGGUGGGGUAGUGGCUUACCAAGGCGUUGACGGGUAGCCGGCCUGAGAGGGUGACCGGGCACAUGGGAAGUGAGACGCGGUGCAGAGUACUACGGGAGGCAGCAGUGGGGAAUAUUGGACAAUGGGCGAAAGCCUGAUCCAGCCAUGCAGCGUGUGUGAAGGCGGUCGUCGGAUUGGAAAGCAGGUUAAGUUGGGGGGAAGGGCAGUAAGUUAAUACCUUGCUGUUGUGACGUUACCAACAGAAGAAGCACCGGCGAACUUCGUG